rnacentral:rRNA from 1 species
UACGGAGGGGGCUAGCGUUGUUCGGAAUUACUGGGCGUAAAGCGCGCGUAGGCGGCUUUGUAAGUUAGAGGUGAAAGCCCGGAGCUUAACUCCGGAACUGCCUUUAAGACUGCAUCGCUAGAAUCGUGGAGAGGUGAGUGGAAUUCCGAGUGUAGAGGUGAAAUUCGUAGAUAUUCGGAGAACACCAGUGGCGAAGGCGACUCACUGGACACGUAUUGACGCUGAGGUGCGAAAGCGUGGGGAGCAAACAGG